CUCAUGGCCCUUAUGCCUUAGGGCUACACACGUGCUACAAUGGGUGGUACAAAGAGAAGCCAACUCGCGAGAGCGCGCCAAUCUCAAAAAGCCAUCCUCAGUUCGGAUUGGAGUCUGCAACUCGACUCCAUGAAGUUGGAAUCGCUAGUAAUCGCGGAUCAGCAUGCCGCGGUGAAUACGUUCCCGGGCCUU
rnacentral:rRNA from 1 species